GCCGCCGUAGACCAACGGCAGAGUCAAUGCGUCGAGAGCGCAUCCAGUGCGAGUUCGACUCUCGCCGGCGGCA
rnacentral:tRNA from 2 species